rnacentral:lncRNA from 1 species
CAAAUGUAGCAUUUUUAAAAGAACUAUGGGGAAUCUUGCCCCCUUUGAACUUUUAAAAUUUUAAUCAGAAGAAUGAUUGUGAAUGUAGUGAUAAUUAUAUUAAUGACACUAAUUCUAAAAAAUGUGUUUACCUGCUUUGGAGACACUUUCCAAAUGAGUUAUAAUUCCUUAUCACUAGGAAUAAAUUUGCUACUAUUGUUUUUACACAGAACAGAAAAUAUUUGGAAAAUUCAUCAGUUGAGAAAGAUCCUCCCCCCAUUCCAGUACCCCAUGAGUUUUGGGGAGCUUGUUGUGCUUACUUAUUGUAUGAAAGACAAAAUCUUCUCUUUCCGAGAAUUUGGAAGCAUGCUGACAUUGAGUGGGCAAGGAGAGAAAAGAAAUCAACAGAUUCUUUUUGUGAGAAGCAAAUUAUUGAGAGACAACAAAGAAGAAAAAUAAUUUUUUCAGAAGAUUAUUUUUUGAAGGAUUUACAACAUGCCAGCAGGAAACUCCUUCACUUUCUCUCUAGGAUAAUCUGUUUACUCUGACAUCUGGGAGGAAAAAAACACUAGUUCAAAUGAAAUAGAGGGGGGAAAGGGAGAUUGUUACAACAAUUGAAGUGAAACACUUCAGGCUCUCCACAGGAGAAGUGAAAGCAGGACUAUAUCACUGAAUUGUUCAUUAAGGUUGCUUAAGUACAAACCUUCCUCACUACAGCUAUUGCUACUGGAAUCUUACAGUUUUAGAAUUUUCUUACAGUUUGGUUGCUUUUUUAAAUCAAUGUUUUCCUCCAACCUUGUUAUGGAAUAUUAUCUAAUGUUUUCAGUUUGUUUGGAGUUGCCAUUGAUAGGAGCAAGAAAUACUAGAUAUUAGAACGUUACAGUUAUUUGACCCUGCAAAGCUCCUGGUCACUGCAUAUUGUAAGACUGAGAGUUAAAAUUAAGAUAUGACUCCACCGGUCAGUUUUCAUACUUACGUGUAAAGUACAAAGGACAAAAGAGAGAUAUAUCACAGAUCCGUCAGCUAUUGUGACACUAAUGCUGAGUAACAAACGACUCCAAAAUGGUGGCUCAUAAAAAUAAGUGUUUAUUUUCCUUGUUUGUGGGUCCGUGGGUGAGCUGGAACUGCUCUGCUUCUGCGGCAGGACGGCUGGGCUUGUAUCAGUGCUUCAGGUUGCAGUCAGCUCAGUUUCCCUGUCUUCUUCAUAAUCCCGAUAGCUCUGUCUGACACAAGAGGGCAAGUAAAACUACUUAUUUAGGGUCUGUACCUAUGUCUGCUAUCGUUCCUUGGCCAACGCAAGUCAUGCAUACGUGAUCAUGCUCAGGAUCGAUGCGACGGACAGAAAAUUCCCAUAGACAUUCACAUGUGGGGGAGGGGGGUGAAGAACCGCGAACAAUGGCCUGAACUACACAAAGUGCAAAC